rnacentral:rRNA from 1 species
UACGUAGGGGGCAAGCGUUGUCCGGAAUCAUUGGGCGUAAAGAGCGUGUAGGCGGCCAGAUAAGUCCGCUGUGAAAUCUCGAGGCUCAACUUCGAGCUGUCGGUGGAAACUGUCUGGCUAGAGUCCGGAAGAGGAGAAUGGAAUUCCUGGUGUAGCGGUGAAUGCGCAGAUAUCAGGAGAACACCGUGGCGAAGGCGGAUCUCUGG